rnacentral:tRNA from 1 species
GCCCCCGUAGCCCAGAGGUAGAGGCGAGCCCCUUAAAAGGGCUUUGUUGUUGGUUCGAAUCCAACCGGGGGUACCA